rnacentral:rRNA from 1 species
UACGUAGGGGGCGAGCGUUGUCCGGAUUUACUGGGCGUAAAGCGCGUGUAGGCGGCGCCUUAAGUCAGGUGUGAAAGCCCGGGGCUCAACCCCGGAGUGCCGCCUGAAACUGGGGUGCUUGAGGACGGAAGAGGGGAGUGGAAUUCCUGGUGUAGCGGUGAAAUGCGUAGAUAUCAGGAGGAACACCCGUGGCGAAGGCGGCUCCCUGGUCCGUUUCUGACGCUGAGACGCGAAAGCGCGGGAGCGAACGGG